rnacentral:rRNA from 1 species
GACGAACGCUGGCGGCGUGCUUAACACAUGCAAGUCGAACGGAAAGGCCCUGCUUUUGUGGGGGGCUCGAGUGGCGAAAGGGUGAGUAACACGUGAGUAACCUGCCCUUGACUUUGGGAUAACUUCAGGAAACUGGGGCUAAUAACGGAUAGGAGCUCCUGCUGCAUGGUGGGGGUUGGAAAGUUUCGGCGGUUGGGGAUGGACUCGCGGCUUAUCAGCUUGUUGGUGGGGUAGUGGCUUACCAAGGCUUUGACGGGUAGCCGGCCUGAGAGGGUGACCGGCCACAUUGGGACUGAGAUACGGCCCAGACUCCUACGGGAGGCAGCAGCGGGGAAUAUUGCACAAUGGGCGGAAGCCUGAUGCAGCAACGCCGCGUGCGGGAUGACGGCCUUCGGGUUGUAAACCGCUUUCGCCUGUGACGAAGCGUGAGUGGCGGUAAUGGGUAAAGAAGCACCGGCUAACUACGUG